UCACCCGGCACAGCAUGUUUAUUCUCGGCGGCGAUUACAGUCUCUUUCCCAGGGUCAGGCUACUCCAGAAGAUCAGCAGUCUAGCCCAGUUGCUUCCCUUCCAGUCGCUUCCUCAAAUUCUGGAUCCCGCUCUCAGCUUCGUCGAUCCUCUCAAGUUUCUUAUCCUGUUGAAGGCUUAUGAAUCGUUUUCCCCAAAAGAUCGAGCUUACCUCAUCUCAGUUCAAUCUUCUCAUGAACCUGACAGUCUAGACCAGUUGUUGCGCUUCAUGUCGCUUCCUCAAAUUCUGGAUCCCGCUCUCAACUUCGUCGAUCCUCUCGAGUUUCUUAUCCUGUUGAAGGCUUAUGAACCGUUUUCCCCAAAAGAUCGAGCUUACCUCAUCUCAGUUUAAUCUUCUCAUGAACCUGAAUCAUUUGCUGAAGCCUCCAAUCAUUCUUGCUGG
rnacentral:lncRNA from 1 species